rnacentral:rRNA from 1 species
ACCUGCGGAAGGAUCAUUACCGAUCGAAGUUCUCCACCAAGAACUCACCGCGAACCGUCUGGAAAGUUGGGGGUCGCCGGCCGCCACAGCCGGCGACAAACGGUGGGAUUCACGCGUCCACCGGCCCCCACGUUUUUCAUCCCAUUUUGCACACUUUCCAUGCAGAAACAACACAGAGCGUCGCUCUGGAACCAAACUUGUAGUACAUAACUUUUAACGGUGGAUCUCUUGGCUCGUGCAUCGAUGAAGAACGCAGCCAGCUGCGAUAAGUAGUGUGAAUUGCAGAAUUCAGUGAAUCAUCGAAUCUUUGAACGCAAAUGGCGCUCUUGGGUUUUCCCAGGAGCACGUCUGUCUGAGUGUCGGUUUCCAAAUACCUCGCAUGCCCUGCGCGUGCGGACUUGAGGCGUCGCGGCCUUCCAUCUCGGUGGGCCUCGUCCCUUGAAAUGCAGCACGACCCACGUGGGCGGCUCGCGUCGACGCCACUUCGGGGAGGCCAAAAGCGUUGUUUGCCCUUUCCCGAGGCGUCGCCGGAUGUCCCCCGUGCGGCCAGGCUUCGGCUCAGCACUCCAUUCUUGACCUCAGAUCAGGCGAGAUUACCCGCUGAAUUUAAGCAUAUUAAUAAGCGGAGGA